rnacentral:rRNA from 1 species
AGUGAACGCUGGCGGUAGGCCUAACACAUGCAAGUCGAACGGCAGCACAGUAAGAGCUUGCUCUUACGGGUGGCGCGUGGCGGACGGGUGAGGAAUACAUCGGAAUCUACUUUUUCGUGGGGGCUAACGUAGGGAAACUUACGCUAAUACCGCAUACGACCUACGGGUGAAAGCAGGGGAUCUUCGGACCUUGCGCGAUUGAAUGAGCCGAUGUCGGAUUAGCUAGUUGGCGGGGUAAAGGCCCACCAAGGCGACGAUCCGUAGCUGGUCUGAGAGGAUGAUCAGCCACACGGGAACUGAGACACGGUCCAGACUCCUACGGGAGGCAGCAGUGGGGAAUAUUAGACAAUGGGCGCAAGCCUGAUCCAGCCAUACCGCGUGGGUGAAGAAGGCCUUCGGGUUGUAAAGCCCUUUUGUUGGGAAAGAAAAGCAGCAGGUUAAUACCCCGCUGUUCUGACGGUACCCAAAGAAUAAGCACCGGCUAACUUCGUG